UACGUAGGUGGCGAGCGUUGUCCGGAUUUACUGGGCGUAAAGGGAGCGUAGGCGGACUUUUAAGUGAGAUGUGAAAUACUCGGGCUCAACUUGAGUGCUGCAUUUCAAACUGGAAGUCUAAAGUGCAGGAGAGGAGAAUGGAAUUCCUAGUGUAGCGGUGAAAUGCGUAGAGAUUAGGAAGAACACCAGUGGCGAAGGCGAUUCUCUGGACUGUAACUGACGCUGAGGCUCGAAAGCGUGGGGAGCAAACAGG
rnacentral:rRNA from 1 species